AUGAAGGAGGACAAAGAAACAAUAGCAACAUGGUCCAGGGAAUCUAGCGUUCCAAUCACAAUGGUGGGCCAUACAGUCGCGACUCAUAAUGGAAAAGAACAUAUACCUAUUUACGUAACAAAUCCUAUGAUAGGUCGCAAAUUGAGGGGAUUCGUGCCUACUCGGCAUUUCGCGAGUUAUGGAUGCAAGAAAUUAUACUAA
rnacentral:rRNA from 1 species